rnacentral:rRNA from 1 species
UACGUAGGGGGCUAGCGUUGUCCGGAAUCAUUGGGCGUAAAGAGCGCGUAGGCGGCUGGAAUAGUCCGGUGUGAAAUCCACAGGCUUAACCUGUGAAUGCCGCUGGAAACUGGUCUGGCUAGAGUCCGGAAGGGGCGAGUGGAAUUCCUGGUGUAGCGGUGAAAUGCGUAGAGAUCAGGAAGAACACCGGUGGCGAAAGCGCUCUGCUAGGCCGCAACUGACACUGAGGGACGAAAGCUAGGGGAGCGAAUGGG